GACAACUUACUCAAGUGGUUACGAGGUCAGUCUUGAAUUGUUUCAGACUUACUUAUUCAAUCCCGACAGGGGAAUAAACUGAUGGGCUCCGCCCGCACAGGUUCGAAUCCUGUAGUUGUCG